CUGGCGGCGUGCUCAUACAUGCAAGUCGAACGAGAAUUCACCUCGGGUGGAAGAAAGUGGCGGACGGGUGAGUAAUGUGUAGAGGAUCUGCCCUAGAGUGGGGGACAACAGCUGGAAACGGCUGCUAAUACCGCAUAUGCGCGUAGCUGAGAUGCUAUUCGUGAAAACUCCGGUGCUCUGGGAUGAGUCUGCAUCUGAUUAGCUAGUUGGGGGUGUAAUGGACCACCAAGGCGACGAUCAGUAGCUGGUUUGAGAGGAUGAUCAGCCACAAUGGGACUGAGACACGGCCCAUACUCCUACGGGAGGCAGCAGUAGGGAAUUUUGCGCAAUGGGGGGAACCCUGACGCAGCAACGCCGCGUGAUUGAAUAAGCCCUUCGGGGUGUAAAGAUCUGUCAGUGGGGACGAAACUUGACGGUACCCACGGAGGAAGCAUCGGCUAACUCCGUGCCAGCAGCUGC
rnacentral:rRNA from 1 species